AACGAACGCUGGCGGCAUGCCUAACACAUGCAAGUCGAACGAGACCUUCGGGUCUAGUGGCGCACGGGUGCGUAACGCGUAGGAACCUGCCCUUAGGUUCGGAAUAACUCCCCGAAAGGGGUGCUAAUACCGGAUAAUGUCUUCGGACCAAAGAUUUAUCGCCUUUGGAUGGGCCCGCGUUGGAUUAGCUAGUUGGUAGGGUAAAAGCCUACCAAGGCGACGAUCCAUAGCUGGUCUGAGAGGAUGAUCAGCCACACUGGGACUGAGACACGGCCCAGACUCCUACGGGAGGCAGCAGUGGGGAAUAUUGGACCAUGGGCGAAAGCCUGAUCCAGCAAUGCCGCGUGAGUGAUGAAGGCCUUAGGGUUGUAAAGCUCUUUUACCCGGGAUGAUAAUGACAGUACCGGGAGAAUAAGCUCCGGCUAACUCCGUG
rnacentral:rRNA from 1 species